rnacentral:rRNA from 1 species
UACGAGGGGGGGCAAGCGUUUGUUCGGAAUUAUUGGGCGUAAAGAGCUCGUAGGCGGUUUGUCACGUCUGCUGUGAAAACUGGAGGCUCAACCUCCAGCCUGCAGUGGGUACGGGCAGACUAGAGUGCGGUAGGGGAGAUUGGAAUUCCUGGUGUAGCGGUGGAAUGCGCAGAUAUCAGGAGGAACACCGAUGGCGAAGGCAGAUCUCUGGGCCGUAACUGACGCUGAGGAGCGAAAGCAUGGGGAGCGAACAGGA